rnacentral:rRNA from 1 species
AUUGAACGCUGGCGGCAUGCUUUACACAUGCAAGUCGAACGGCAGCGCGGGGGCAACCCUGGCGGCGAGUGGCGAACGGGUGAGUAAUGCAUCGGAACGUAUCCUGUAAUGGGGGAUAACGUAGCGAAAGUUACGCUAAUACCGCAUACGCUCGAGAGAGGAAAGUGGGGGAUCGCAAGACCUCACGUUAUAGGAGCGGCCGAUGUCCGAUUAGCUAGUUGGUGGGGUAAAGGCCUACCAAGGCGACGAUCGGUAGCUGGUCUGAGAGGACGACCAGCCACACUGGAACUGAGACACGGUCCAGACUCCUACGGGAGGCAGCAGUGGGGAAUUUUGGACAAUGGGCGCAAGCCUGAUCCAGCCAUUCCGCGUGCAGGAUGAAGGCCU